CCCCGAAGGCGAAGAUGGCCAAGAGAGUGAUUACGGUUUUGAAGAAGCUGAAUCAGCAGUUCCGAUCAAUCUUGCCAGUCAUGCUAUUGGUUUUCGGUCAAUGAUAAACUGGUUCGUUUGCCUAGGUUAUAGUAUUGCCCUCCUCAAUGGUCUGGAAUGUCGGGAUACCAAGGUAAUGGCGAUAAUUGUUACAGGCAGCGCAACAGGGGCUCGAAAGGCGUCCCCAUACAUCUCCACUGCUGAUGAUGAGCCAACUGGGAUUACUAGCGGGGUUUAUGAUGAAGACGGAAGGUCUGAUGCGGAAUCAGAGUCUACUUCUAGCAGUUUGGACGAUACUGAUGCUAACGAGGUCGUCGCCAAGGAACUCGCCAAAUUGGAUUUAAACACGAGUGGUAUCCCUGAAUCAAAAAGGGGAGCAAGAGGCCCGCAGGACUUGAAAAUUUUGCAAGAAUUCCAGAACAUCUUGAAGAAGUCCGAUUGUCAGGACCUGACCCAGCGUGACCUUGUCGUCGUCAUGACGCUGAGCCUGAUGUACAAAUACGGUGUCCUGGAAGGACACAGUGCCGCGG
rnacentral:sRNA from 1 species